AUCUCUCUCUAUGGGGUCAGGCCUAAACUUCUCUUCCUUUUUAUAUAGGCUCUAUAUACAUAUUAAAAUAGGAAUAUCAUACAGCGGACACCUUAGCCUAUAGGUCUAUGCAUGCAAUGCCCUGAUACAAUCAAUCAACCCAAACUGUGCAGCGGCCAAUUGAUGAAUGGAAAGAGACAUCUGUUUCAAAACACCCAAAACUUUAUUGACAUUCGGAGAUGAUCAAGCCAAGCCUUCGACACCCGGUAAACCUACAAGCUGAUCGUUGUCUGCAGCUGGCUCUGAUCUUACUGUAAUGAAAUGGGCAGGGAGAGUGAGCUUAUCUGUGAUGGUCGGCAAACCCUCAACCUGGCCUGUAGCUCUGCAUUGCAUCGACUGUCCCACAAAAGCAUGCUGAUGGCAAAGUCGAUAUCCACAUUUAUAAACACAGGGUCGCUACAGUUAUUGUUAUUUUUGGUCGUAAACAUUGUUUUGAGGUGAGGGUGGGAGGGUGUUCAAUUUACACUGAACAAAAAUAUAAACAUAACACCUAAAGUGUUUCAUGAACUGAAAUUAAAGAUCCCAAAAUGAUCCAUACAGUAUGCACAAAAAGCUUAUUUAGCUCAAAUUCUGUGCACAAUUUUUUUUACAUCCCUGUUCAUGAGCAUUUCUCAUUUGCCCAAAUAAUCCUUCCACCUGACAGGUGUGGCAUGUCAAGAAGCUGAUUAAACAGCAUGAUCGUUACACAUGUGCACCUUUUGCUGGAGACAAUAAAAGGCCACUGUAAAAUGUGCAGUUUUGUCACACAACACAAUGCCACAGAUGUCUCAAGUUUUCAAGGAGUGUGCAAUGUGCAUGCUGACUGCAGGAAUGCCCACCAGAGCUGUGCCAGAGAAUUGAAUGUUAGUUUGUCUACCAUAAGCCGCAUCCAACAUCAUUUGAGAGAAUUUGGCAGUACGUCCAACGGCCUCACAACCGCAGACCACCACAUCCGGCUUCUUCUCAUCCGGCUUCUUCACAUCCGGUUCAUUCAGAUCCGACUUCUUCACCUGCGAGAUGGUUUGAUACCAGCCACCCGGACAGCUGAUGAAACUGUGGGUUUGCACAACCGAAGAAUUUCUGCACAAACUGUCAGAAACCAUUUCAGGGAAGCUCAUCUGCGUGCUUGUCAUCCUCAUCAGGGUCUUGACCGGACUGCAGUUCAGUGUCGUGACUGACUUCAGUGGGCAAAUUCUGACCUUCGAUGGCCACUGGAAUGCUGGAGAAGUGUGCUGUUCACAGAUGAAUCCCAGUUUCAGUUGGACCGGGCAGAUGGCAGACGUGUGCAUGUAUGGCAUUGUGUAGGCAAGCGGUUUGCUGAUGUCAGCGUUGUUAACAAAUUGCCCCAUGGUGGCGGUGGGGGGAUGGUAUGGGCAGGCAUAAGUUACGGACAGCGAACACAAUUGCAUUUUAUCGAUGGCAAUUUAAAU
rnacentral:lncRNA from 1 species